rnacentral:rRNA from 1 species
GCGAUGCCGCGUGAAGGAAGACGGCCCUAUGGGUUGUAAACUUCUUUUAUACAGGAAGAAACCUUUCCACGUGUGGAAAGCUGACGGUACUGUAAGAAUAAGGAUCGGCUAACUCCGUGCCAGCAGCCGCGGUAAUACGGAGGAUCCAAGCGUUAUCCGGAAUUAUUGGGUUUAAAGGGUCCGCAGGCUGUUUGUUAAGUCAGGGGUGAAAUCCUACCGCUCAACGGUAGAACUGCCUUUGAUACUGGCAAACUUGAGUUAUUGUGAAGUAGUUAGAAUGUGUAGUGUAGCGGUGAAAUGCAUAGAUAUUACACAGAAGACCGAUUGCGAAAGCAGAUUACUAACAAUAUACUGACGCUGAGGGACGAAAGCGUGGGUAGCGAACAGGAUUAGAUACCCUGGUAGUCCACGCCGUAAACGAUGGUCACUAGCUGUUCGAUGUACAUUGGUACAUUGAGUGGCUAAGCGAAAGUGAUAAGUGACCCACCUGGGGAGUACGCUCGCAAGAGUGAAACUCAAAGGAAUUGACGGGGGCCCGCACAAGCGGUGGAGCAUGUGGUUUAAUUCGAUGAUACGCGAGGAACCUUACCAGGACUUAAAUGUAAGUUGCAUGAUUCAGAAAUGGAUCUUUCUUCGGACUACUUACAAGGUGCUGCAUGGUUGUCGUCAGCUCGUGCCGUGAGGUGUCAGGUUAAGUCCUAUAACGAGCGCAACCCCUAUCGUUAGUUGCCAUCAAGUAAGGUUGGGAACUCUAGCGAAACUGCCGGUGCAAACCGUGAGGAAGGUGGGGAUGACGUCAAAUCAUCACGGCCCUUACGUUCUGGGCUACACACGUGCUACAAUGGCCGGUACAGAAAGCAGCCACUAUGCGAAUAGGAGCUAAUCUUCAAAGCCGGUCUCAGUUCGGAUCGCAGUCUGCAACUCGACUGCGUGAAGCUGGAAUCGCUAGUAAUCGGAUAUCAGCCAUGAUCCGGUGAAUACGUUCCCGGGCCUUGUACACACCGCCCGUCAAGCCAUGGAAGCUGGGGGUACCUAAAGUCGGUGACCGAAAGGAGCCGCCUAGGGUAAAACUAGUAACUGGGGCUAAGUCGUAACAAGGUAGCCGUACCGGAAGGUGCGGCUGGAAUACCUCCUUUCU